rnacentral:pre_miRNA from 1 species
GAAGACGUGCUGUCCACAGUGUGGUUGAUAAGCUGACACGGGACAGGAUUUCUUUUCACUGUUGUGUCAGUAUAUGAAACUUAUACCUGAACAUC